UACGGAGGAUCCAAGCGUUAUCCGGAAUUACUGGGCGUAAAGAGUUGCGUAGGUGGUUAAGUAAGUUGGUAGUGAAAGCGUUCGGCUCAACCGGAUAAACAUUACCAAAACUACUUUGACUAGAGAAUGAGAGAGGUCGCUAGAAUUCCUUGUGUAGGAGUGAAAUCCGUAGAUAUAAGGAGGAAUACCGAUGGCGUAGGCAGGCGACUGGCUCAUUUCUGACACUAAGGCACGAAAGCGUGGGGAGCGACCGGG
rnacentral:rRNA from 1 species